rnacentral:rRNA from 1 species
CAGCCAAGUCGUGAGGCGGAGCUAAUCCCUUAAAGCCAUUCUCAGUUCGGAUUGUAGGCUGAAACCCGCCUACAUGAAGCUGGAGUUACUAGUAAUCGCAGAUCAGAAUGCUGCGGUGAAUGCGUUCCCGGGUCUUGUACACACCGCCCGUCACACCACGGAAGUUGGGGGCGCCCGAAGCCACUUAGCUAACCCUUUUGGGAAGCGAGUGUCGAAGGUGAAAUCAAUAACUGGGGUGAAGUCGUAACAAGGUAGC